UAUUAGAAAUAUUUUGAUCUGAAAUUUCAAAUUAAAGCAAGCAUAUUUCCUUUUUUCUUUUUCAAGGUAACCAUUGGUAGAAUCAAUAGUUAUAGCCCAUAACUGUUGUUAACGACAGAAGAAAGCAAAGAGUUGAGCUCAUUAGCGACACGCGAUAGACGAAUAAAAAAAGGUAAUGGCAAAUCAAAAUGCUCGCAAGGAUAUGCAGAGCAAAAAGUGGCGAGCUAUCGCUGACGAGGCGCAAAUCAGUUACAACUAUGGCCAGUUAUCUCAGCGGGUCAUCUCUUCACGAAAGGACAAUUAUGAGUGGACAUGCUAAUUUGUGCGUGGCGCUGGACAUGCAGGACACAUCGCAGAAGACACGCGCCAAAGCAGAAUACCUCAAUAUUUGUUGAGCGAACGUGAUUUGGCGCAUUCGUCCAGGACAAAAGAGGACGAGAACUGGUCAGACAGACCGCGCCCUAAAGUCUAAAACGAGAAAGCGAAGGCAAAACCAAAGACAAGGGGCGCGCCAGUUGCGACAAAUCCUUUGACACACGCACUCAUGCCACAUUGGCGUUGCCUAAAAGUAUGCAAAAUGUUUUGUUCACGCUGCACAAACAGGCGCUUUCAACAAACCACAUACUAGAGCUGGAGCAAAGAUGGAUGUCGAGCUGAAUGGCAAUGUCUGUCUCCCGCAUUGGGAACUGGCAACUGGCAAACUGGCAAACUAGAGUCGGAGUCCGAGAAUGACUCCGCCCCAGACAGAGCUUGCCACAUGCCACACACACACACUUACACAGAGGCCACACCCCAAAGCACAUUUCGCAGUGGUUGGCGUGCGCGUCUUUUGAUGUUUUAACUUCGUCUUCGUCUCGCAAGAAAAUGCCUCAAGCUGACGGGUUUUCUAAUAUUCCAAGAUGCCUGGAAACUGCCGCCGAAACUGGUUAUAAAAAUGGUUGAAAGGUAAAUGGAAGAUAGAAGCAUGACAGCAUGACGUCAAUUACAGGCACUUGACGGUUAAUUAGAAGCUCAUUUUCAAUUAAUCAAAACGCCAAAAGAAACGCCAAUAACAUCAGUUGGCUAACUUAACGGCAUCGCGUGUGCAAGCCAAAAAUAAAAGCUGAGGAAUACAGAGAUGAGGGGAAGAGAAUGGAGGACAAUGUCAACGCCAAUUGAUUGCCACAUCGCAUUAAUAAUUCAACAGGAUCUCUCGUUGGUGUCGUUGAUUUCAAUUGAACGAAAAGUUGAAGUCGAGCAUCUCAUUUCGUACGCUAAAUUAUUCGAGACUUUGGGGACAGCGCGUGGAACAUCAACAGCCUAUCCACUUGCCAUUAACUUUAGCUUCAUCUUCGACCUGCGCAGGUUAAGCUGCCACAUGCUACUUGCCACACACACACAGAGCAGCGUACGGCACACCUAUAAACAUUAACUUGUCAAUAAAGAUUUCAUUCUCUAAAAACUAACGCCGAAUCAAGCUAAUUCCACAAAAGUAAAGUGAAAUACUCAACAUUUGCACUUGGACAGCUCUGACGUAUACUUAUUAUUAUUACAUACACAUUAGUGGCUCAAGAGAAUGUUCAAUAAUUCAAGGAAAUACGUUUGCCUUGAACUGAAUAUAAAGAGCUGUGUUGACUCACUGCAGAACAUAUGCGACAGCCGAGAGUCCACAAGCCGCCUGCCACAUGCCACACGCCGCAUGCAUAUGCAACUCAGUUACGAGUUACGAUUUCGGUGAGUAAUUAUUCAUGCCAAGAACAAGAACUGUAAACAGUGCUAACUCAAUUCGAAAACCAACACGAGAAGCAAACAAACUGAAAGACUGAAGGACAAUGGACAAAAGUAGGCAGAACGAUGAGCAUGUGAAUCCCGUUUGCAUAACGAGUGACGCUCGAGUGGGCAGCACUUAAGGACUUGAGCAUGGACAUGGAUUUCGGUGACGGGAGUUGUGGGUGUUGAGAGUCGAGAGACGGGACAUGUGUCUGUGUGGGGACGACGGAACCAUUACUUAAUUAUCAUAACAGCCAGGGCCAGGAUCGCGGUGUUUUUGGCCAAAAGGGUUAAGAGAGCAUUGCCCAU